rnacentral:misc_RNA from 1 species
GCAACCUCAAAUUUAUCAGCAGCCAUCAGUACAUCAAGCAAGGCAGGUGCUGUAGUAUUAGAUAAACUAUUGCUGUACAUAAAAUUCAGGAGGUCCAUGAGGGCAGCUUCCUCAGAAGCAUUGAUCCGUAGUGUCACAUGCCGCUGCUCUGACUCCCUCAUCCCAUUUGAGAAGAGCUUGUAGAAAAAUGGACUUUUUGCAGCUAAAAUGGGAGAGCUGAUGUGUAACGUUUUAACUCUCACAACAGUUGAGCAAUCCAUGUUCCAGGCUGGUUCAUUACCAUCUACAGCUUCAUCACCUGAAGGUGAUUGUUCCAUCAUUGCCACUGCUUCCUCAUCUUGAUU